rnacentral:rRNA from 1 species
UUUGAUCUUGGUUCAGGACGAACGCUGGCGGCGUGCUUAACACAUGCAAGUCGAACGAUGACGAUGGUGCUUGCACCGUCUGAUUAGUGGCGAACGGGUGAGUAACACGUGAGUAACCUGCCCUCCUCUUCGGGAUAACCGCCGGAAACGGUGGCUAAUACCGGAUAUGAAUGCCUGCCGCAUGGUGGGUGUUGGAAAGAUUUAUCGGUGGGGGAUGGACUCGCGGCCUAUCAGUUUGUUGGUGAGGUAAUGGCUCACCAAGGCGAUGACGGGUAGCCGGCCUGAGAGGGCGACCGGCCACACUGGGACUGAGACACGGCCCAGACUCCUACGGGAGGCAGCAGUGGGGAAUAUUGCACAAUGGGCGAAAGCCUGAUGCAGCGACGCCGCGUGGGGGAUGACGGCCUUCGGGUUGUAAACCUCUUUCAGCAGGGAAGAAGCGAGAGUGACGGUACCUGCAGAAGAAGCGCCGGCUAACUACGUGCCAGCCGCGGC